AGAGCGAACGCUGGCGGCAGGCCUAAUACAUGCAAGUCGAACGGACCCUUCGGGGUUAGUGGCGGACGGGUGAGUAACACGUGGGAACGUGCCCUUUGGUUCGGAACAACUCAGGGAAACUUGAGCUAAUACCGGAUGUGCCCUUCGGGGGAAAGAUUUAUCGCCAUUGGAGCGGCCCGCGUCUGAUUAGCUAGUUGGUGGGGUAAAGGCCCACCAAGGCUACGAUCAGUAGCUGGUCUGAGAGGAUGAUCAGCCACACUGGGACUGAGACACGGCCCCAGACUCCUACGGGAGGCAGCAGUAGGGAAUCUUGCGCAAUGGGCGAAAGCCUGACGCAGCCAUGCCGCGUGAAUGAUGAAGGUCUUAGGAUUGUAAAAUUCUUUCAGCGGGGACGAUAAUGACGGUACCCGCAGAAGAAGCCCCGGCUAACUUCGUGCCAGCAGCCGC
rnacentral:rRNA from 1 species